rnacentral:rRNA from 1 species
AUUGAACGCUAGCGGGAUGCUUUACACAUGCAAGUCGAACGGAGUGGCGGACGGGUGAGUAAUAUAUCGGAAUGUGCCCUGUAGCGGGGGAUAACUACUCGAAAGAGUGGCUAAUACCGCAUACUAUGGGAGCGGCCGAUAUGGGAUGAGCUAGUUGGUGGGGUAAAGGCUCACCAAGGCAACGAUCCCUAGCUGGUGUGAGAGGAUGACCAGCCACACUGGGACUGAGACACGGCCCAGACUCCUACGGGAGGCAGCAGUGGGGAAUUUUGGACAAUGGGGGAAACCCUGAUGCAGCCAUCCCGCGUGUAUGAUGAAGGCCUUCGGGUUGUAAAGUACUUUUGGCAGAGAGGCGGUACCUGCAGAAUAAGCACCGGCUAACUACGUGCCAGCCGCCGCGGUAAUUC